CCUACGGGAGGCAGCAGUGAGGAAUAUUGGUCAAUGGACGAGAGUCUGAACCAGCCAAGUAGCGUGAAGGAUGACUGCCCUAUGGGUUGUAAACUUCUUUUAUAUGGGAAUAAAAUGUUCCACGUGUGGGCUUUUGUAUGUACCUUAUGAAUAAGGAUCGGCUAACUCCGUGCCAGCAGCCGCGGUAAUACGGAGGAUCCGAGCGUUAUCCGGCUUUCUUGGGUUUAAAGGGAGCGUAGAUGGGGUGUUAAGUCAGUUGUGAAAGUUUGCGGCUCAACCGUAAAAUUGCAAUUGAUACUGGCAGCCUUGAGUACAGUUGAGGUAGGCGGAAUUCGUGGUGUAGCGGUGAAAUGCUUAGAUAUCACGAAGAACUCCGAUUGCGAAGGCAGCAUACUAAACUGCCACUGACAUUGAUGCUCGAAAGUGUGGGUAUCAAACAGGAUUAGAUACCCUAGUAGUC
rnacentral:rRNA from 1 species